GGGAGGCAGACCNCAAAAAAGGAGUCCCAGUUCGGAUUACAGCCUGCAACCCGGCUGUAUGAAGCUGGAAUCGCUAGUAAUCGCAGAUCAGAAUGCUGCGGUGAAUACGUUCCCGGGUCUUGUACACACCGCCCGUCACACCAUGGGAGCCAGGAAUGCCCGAAGCCAGUGGCCUAACCGCAAGGGAGGAGCUGUCGAAGGCAGGCCCGGUAACUGGGGUGAAGUCGUAACAAGGUAAC
rnacentral:rRNA from 1 species